UGAAAGACACAUUUGGGGUGGGGGGCUAAACCGAAUGCCUACUUAUGGUUGAUAACCACCAACUACCACUCUCAUUAACUAUGUUCACACCCUUCUUUAUACCCAUAUCCUCCUACUCCUUUGUUUCUUUAAUGUUACAAGCACUGGUUUACCUUUAGAAACACCAGAUCCACACACACCAAAAGAUGUCAGAAGCUCCAAAGAUACAAGAGAUGUCGUACAAUCAAUCUGUGCAAAAGACCAAGGAAGAAAGGGGCUGUCUGUAUGCCUGCUUCUUCACAUUGUUUUGCUGCUGUUGCUGUUCCGAGACAUGUGAAGGCUGUUUGGACUGUGCUUGUUGCUGUUGCAAGUAGUCCCAUAUAAUUGAAAUCAGAAGUUGCUGCCUAGACUGCAUUUCUUAUUCAUUUUCUGUCUGUUAUCUGUGGAAAAACUCUCUUUUGUACUGAUCAAAUGCUUAAUUUCAUUAAAGUUCCUAAGUUGUGCUAUCUUUGCUGGACU